rnacentral:lncRNA from 1 species
AGACUCGAUCCACAGCAGCGCGCGCCCGGGCCUUCGCGGUGGGAACGCAACCCUGGCUAACAGAACUGCGACCGCUCCGCGCACUCCCGGGGCGUGGUUGAGGACAAAGCCAAAGCCCAGGGUGGCGGGGAGGAGGUGGGCGGCCACAACCCCAAGGGAGAUGGGCCUUGGACCUUAGCCUGGAGGAUCUUCUCCGCUAAGGAGGGAGACCCAGGAGGCUCGCUCGCGGUCCGCGCAGCCCAGGCCUGCCACCCUGACCGCGCCUCCUCGGAGCCCGCAGCUCCACCUUUGAUCAAGUGGGAAUUAACUUGAGAAAGGGGUGCUGCCUAAGGACUUUUAAAACGAACUCUUUAACAUUUCCAAGUACUUACCCUUCAUCCCUCUUACGCUUGUGAAGAACGCAUGUGCUGACCCCCAGAGCCUGGUCCUGCCGAGCUGCUCCCUGGUGCUGGGGAAAGGUGGCACAACUGUAGAGACAGAAGAGUAUUUUGGGGGCCUGGCAGGGGGCAGAGUGUUCACGGUGGUCCAGAAGGUGCAGCCGCAUCAGGGCAGGAGGCUGGGAACCGCUUU